CUCCCUAUUAGGCACGCGGGUUACACUAGACCACAUACUACUCUUGUGUGUAACAACCGUAGAGUAUGUCUUAAUAAUGUAUUAAUUCUUUAGAAAGCAUUGAUGAAUGUAUUCCUCAUAGUAAGUGUAACAAGACCCAUCCACACUAUUAUUGAUGUUUCAAUGGAGAGUGGAAAAAAAAAUGUUUAUGAUGCACUCAGUGCGAUUAUGCGACCAACAUGUUAGGGAUUCCACCGGGGAAGAAAAAUCCUUGAGCCUUUCGGAAAAAUACAGUUUGGAAGAGUCAGGAAAUGCUAUAACACUCCUGUAAAUGUGGAGGCUGAUGUGCCACUGAAGAGCAAAGGAAUGAGUUUGUGUCUCAGCCUUGGUCUACACUAGGAGUUGAGGUUGAAUUUAGCAGCGUUAAAUCGAUUUAAGCCUGCAUCCGUCCACACGACGAAGCCCCUUUUUCAACUUAAAGGGCUCUUAAAAUCAAUUUCCUUACUCCACCCCCGACAAGAGGAUUAGCGCUGAAAUCGGCCUUGCCGGAUCAAAUUUGGGGUACUGUGGACACAAUUCGACGGUAUUGGCCUCCGGGAGCUAUCCCAGAGUGCUCCAUUGUGACUGCUGUGGACAGCACUCUCCACUCAGAUGCACUGGCCAGGUAGACAGGAAAAGGCCCGCGAACUUUUGAAUUUCAAUUUCCUGCUUGGCCAGCUUGGCAAGCUGGAGGCGACCAUGCAGAGCUCAUCAGUAGAGGUGACCAUGAUGGAGUCCCAGAAUCGCAAAAGAGAUCCAGCAUGGACCGAACGGGAGGUAUGGGAUCUGAUCGCUGUAUGGGGAGAGGAAUCAGUGCUAUCAGAACUCCGUUCCGGUUUUUGAAAUGCCAAAACAUUUGUCAAAAUCUCCCAGGGCAUGAAGGACAGAGGCCAUAACAGGGACCCGAAGCAGAGCCACGUGAAACUUAAGGAGCUGAGGCAAGCCUACCAGAAAACCAGAGAGGCAAACGGCCACUCCGGGUCAGAGCCCCAAACAUGCCGCUUCUAUGAUGAGCUGCAUGCCAUUUUAGGGGGGGUUCAGCCACCACUGCCUCGCCGUGUUGUUUGACUCCUUCAAUGGAGAUGGAGGCAACAGAGAAGCAGGUUUUGGGGACAAGGAAGAUGAUGAUGAUGAGGUUGUAGAUAGCUCACAGCAAACAAGCGGAGAAACCAGUUUUCCCGACAGCCAGGAACUGUUUCUCACCCUGGACCUGGAGCCAGUACCCCCCGAACCCACCCAAGGCUGCCUCCCGGACCUGCCAGGUGGAGAAAGGACCUCUGCUGUAUGUGUUUCAAGGACAACAGGAUCUUCUCCUUCCCAGAGGCUAGCGAAGAUUAGAAGGCAAAAAAAAACGCACUUGCGAUGAAAUGUUCUCUGAGCUCUUGCUGUCCUCCCACACUGACAGAGCACAGACGAAUGCAUGGAGGCAGACAAUGUCAGAGUGCUGGAAAGCACAAAAUGACCGGGAGGAGAGAGGUGGCGGGCUGAAGAGAGUAAGUGGUGGGCUGAAGAGAGGGCUGAAGCUGAAAGGUGGCAGCAGCGUGAUGAGAGGAGGCAGGAUUCAAUGCUGAGGCUGCUGGAGGAUCAAACCAAUAUGCUCCAGCAUAUGGCUGAGCUGCAGGAAAGGCAGCUGGAGCGCAGACCGCCACUAAAGCCCCUGUGUAACCAACCGCCCUCUUCCCCAAGUUCCAUAGCCUCCUCACCCAGAUGCCAAGAACACGGUGGGGGGGCCUCUGGCCACCCAGCCACUCCACCCCAGGGGAUUGCCCAAGCAACAGAAGGCUGGCAUUCAAUAAGUUUUAAAGUUUUAAACUUUUAAAGUGCUGUGUGGCCCUGUCCUCCCCUCCUCCACCAACCCUCCUGGUACUUCUCUCCUCCACCACCCCUCCUGGGCUACCUUGGUAGUUAUCCCCCUGUUUGUGUGAUGA